rnacentral:rRNA from 1 species
CAGGGCUUCCCUCKAACGGGGCCGUCCCUCGGGACGCCUUCUCCCGUCCCAGACGCAUUUGUCUCUCGUCCGAAGGACGCUGCAGCCGGUUCGGAAGUGCAAGCGCGACGGCCUGAAGGUGGGGUAAUGGCAGGUGGCCGGCGGCCGGUCUCGUGCUGGUUGUCGGUUGUUAGCCGUCCCCUCAGUGGCUCGUCUCCGGACCGUGGUGUCGCGAGUCCCUUUACGGGACUCCUCGUCUCCCACCCCCGAGUCGCGGGACAGAGGGCCGCUAGAGUCUUUCGUCUCCGCCGUCGCACUCUUACGGAGUGGUCGGAGGGGCGCGAGGCUCCGCAGGUGGCUACGGGCCCGCGGGGGACCGGUGGCUGGCAGCGAGUAGGUCGGUCACCCACCCGACCCGUCUUGAAACACGGACCAAGGAGUCUAACAUGUGCGCGAGUCAAUGGGUCUUGACUAGGCCCAGGGGCGCAAUGAAAGCGAAGGACUGCCGAGCGUAGUCUGAGUGGGGAUCCCUCUUCCUUGUGGAGGGGGCGCACCCACGACCCGUCCUAUGCGGCUCGCCGUUUGGGCGGAGUCUGAGCGUACACGUUGGGACCCGAAAGAUGGUGAACUAUGCCCGGACAGGACGAGGCCAGAGGAAACUCUGGUGGAGGUCCGCAGCGGUUCUGACGUGCAA